GAUGAACGCUGGCGGCGUGCUUAACACAUGCAGGUCGAACGAGAAGUGAAGACGGAAACCUUCGGGCGGAAGGCUUUAUUUCGAGUGGCGGACGGGUGAGUAACGCGUGGGUAACCUGCCUCAUACAGGGGGAUAACAGUUGGAAACGACUGUUAAUACCGCAUAAGACCACAGCACCGCAUGGUGCGGGGGUAAAAACUCCGGUGGUAUGAGAUGGACCCGCGUUCGAUUAGCCAGUUGGCGGGGUAACGGCCCACCAAAGCGACGAUCGAUAGCCGAUCUGAGAGGAUGACCGGCCACAUUGGGACUGAGACACGGCCCAAACUCCUACGGGAGGCAGCAGUGGGGAAUAUUGCACAAUGGGGGAAACCCUGAUGCAGCGACGCCGCGUGAGUGAAGAAGUAUUUCGGUAUGUAAAGCUCUAUCAGCAGGGAAGAAAAUGACGGUACCUGAGUAAGAAGCCCCGGCUAACUACGUG
rnacentral:rRNA from 1 species